UACGUAGGUGGCAAGCGUUGUCCGGAUUUACUGGGCGUAAAGGAUGCGUAGGCGGACAUUUAAGUCAGAUGUGAAAUACCCGAGCUUAACUUGGGUGCUGCAUUUGAAACUGGGUGUCUAGAGUGCAGGAGAGGUAAGUGGAAUUCCUAGUGUAGCGGUGAAAUGCGUAGAGAUUAGGAAGGACACCAGUGGCGAAGGCGACUUACUGGACUGUAACUGACGCUGAGGCAUGAAAGCGUGGGGAGCGAACAGG
rnacentral:rRNA from 1 species